rnacentral:rRNA from 1 species
GACGAACGCUGGCGGCGUGCUUAACACAUGCAAGUCGAACGGAAAGGCCCUGCUUGCAGGGUACUCGAGUGGCGAACGGGUGAGUAACACGUGGGUGAUCUGCCCUGCACUUCGGGAUAAGCCUGGGAAACUGGGUCUAAUACCGGAUAGGAGCUAUUUUUAGUGUGAUGGUUGGAAAGUUUUUUCGGUGUAGGAUGAGCUCGCGGCCUAUCAGCUUGUUGGUGGGGUAAUGGCCUACCAAGGCGGCGACGGGUAGCCGGCCUGAGAGGGUGGACGGCCACAUUGGGACUGGGAUACGGCCCAGACUCCUACGGGAGGCAGCAGUGGGGAAUAUUGCACAAUGGGCGCAAGCCUGAUGCAGCGACGCCGCGUGGGGGAUGACGGCCUUCGGGUUGUAAACUCCUUUCGCUAGGGACGAAGCUUUUUGUGACGGUACCUAGAUAAGAAGCACCGGCUAACUACGUG